AACAAGGUCUCCGUUGGUGAACCAGCGGAGGGAUCAUUACCGAGUUAUUCAACUCAUCAACCCUGUGAACAUACCUAAACGUUGCUUCGGCGGGAAUAGACGGCCCCGUGAAACGGGCCGCCCCCGCCAGAGGACCCUUAACUCUGUUUCUAUAAUGUUUCUUCUGAGUAAAACAAGCAAAUAAAUCAAAACUUUCAACAACGGAUCUCUUGGCUCUGGCAUCGAUGAAGAACGCAGCGAAAUGCGAUAAGUAAUGUGAAUUGCAGAAUUCAGUGAAUCAUCGAAUCUUUGAACGCACAUUGCGCCCGCCAGUAUUCUGGCGGGCAUGCCUGUUCGAGCGUCAUUACAACCCUCAGGCCCCCGGGCCUGGCGUUGGGGAUCGGCGGAGCCUCUCUGUGGGCACACGCCGUCCCCCAAAUACAGUGGCGGUCCCGCCGCAGCUUCCAUCGCGUAGUAGCUAACACCUCGCGACUGGAGAGCGGCGCGGCCACGCCGUAAAACACCCAACUCUUCUGAAGUUGACCUCGAAUCAGGUAGGAAUACCCGCUGAACUUAAGCAUAUCAAU
rnacentral:rRNA from 1 species